UUCGCAAUGCCCGAAAGGGUGAACGAGCGACGCCGCGUGCGGGAUGAAGGGUUUCGGCUUGUAAACCGCUUUUCUUUGGGAAGAAGGUCUGUCUCGUGCAGAUGGGCUCGACGGUACCAGAGGAAUAAGCCUCGGCUAACUCCGUGCCAGCAGCCGCGGUAAGACGGAGGAGGCAAGCGUUGUUCGGAAUUACUGGGCAUAAAGCGCGUGUAGGCGGCAUCGUAAGUCGGGUGUGAAAUCCCUCGGCCUAACCGAGGAAUUGCGCCCGAAACUACCUUGCUUGAGGACCAGAGGGGAGCCUGGAAUUCCUGGUGGAGCGGUGAAAUGCGUUGAUAUCAGGAGGAACACCGGCGGCGAAGGCGAGGCUCUGGCUGGUUACUGACGCUGAGACGCGAAAGCUAGGGGAGCAAACGGGAUUAGAUACCCCGGUAGUCCUAGCCGUAAACGAUGGGCACUAAGUAGAGGGGUUUU
rnacentral:rRNA from 1 species